rnacentral:lncRNA from 1 species
CUGGCGGCUCAGGAGGAGAUGCACAACCCACCUCUACUUUGACAUUUGUUCCCUCAUGGAACUUUUCAAUGGAAAGAGAGUUGGGGUGACACAGGCCACACCUCACUGCAGGACUUCAAUGUGCUUGUCUAGGUUGCUUUGUUUUUCUAAGCUCCAUCCACUGCUCCAUUAGUCUGUGACCCAGAAUGGAAGCACUCGCAGCAGUGCAAAACAUAAACUCAGCUUGGCGUCUAACCAAGAUUUCCUUUGCUGUAAUCAAGAUGACUUCUGACAAGAUGAAGGAGGAGCAGAAAAGCUGACGAGUAGUCUUGAAGAAUUUGUGCAAUGGUCAAGUAUCCUCCUGUAGUUGGGUGAAGCACAGGCCAGAAGUCAGAAGCAACCCCGAAGACUUCCGGCUUUUCUUUUAAGAGCCUCAGAAAAGAGAUUAACUGGAGAAAGGCUUUAUCUCUGAUCCAGAUGUGAUACUGACUGAAGGGCUGGGAAGAAUGGUCUGUGCAUCUCUAGGAAGGCAUUUCUUUUUCUCUUCUUUGUAAAAACAUUUUUGGAUUACAAAGUGAUUUACUUAAAGUUUGAAUUGUUAAAUUCUAAACAUAGAAAGGAUAAACGAAGCAUGAAAUUUAUAAAUACCUGAAAUACAAGUGUCAAUGAUGUUUCCAAUUUUAGUCAAGUUUUAAUUAAAUGUUGUUUGCAUAUUUUAAAUUUUAUUUGCUUUUGCAAGAAGGUAUUUCUUGUUAGAAUAAAUUCUCCAGGGAAUCAGAGUGAUAAGUUCCAAAGCCAGUGAUCCAGUGUGGUCAGACCUGAGGAACCAUGGCCCAGGGACAAAUCAUGCUUAAGCCAUACGCUGCCUGAGAAGGAGAAGAUCAAAGACAGCUUAUAUGUUUGUUCAAGUGGGAGCAACAAAGAGAAGUUCAAGGGCAAGCAAGAUGAGGAAUAUGAGUGGCCCACACUCAUGAAGGAAGGUAGGUUCUGUGCUGCUGGUGCUUUAUUCAAUGGAUUGCUGCUCAUUCUCCACAUGGCCUUUGGGUCCCUAAAGUGAAAUCAUCCAUGGAUGAGAUGAUAUCACGCAAAUGGAAUCAGGUACUGAGAGGUUGGGCUGAAAGCUCGAGUGGCCUUCAGUGGGCUCCUCAUCAGGGUGUGGCUUAUUCCCACCAGCCAUUAGGCCACUGGUUAAAUGGUUCAUUAUUG